rnacentral:rRNA from 1 species
GACGAACGCUGGCGGCGUGCUUAACACAUGCAAGUCGAACGAAGAGCGACGGAAGCUUGCUUCUAUCAAUCUUAGUGGCGAACGGGUGAGUAACGCGUAAUCAACCUGCCCUUCAGAGGGGGACAACAGUUGGAAACGACUGCUAAUACCGCAUACGAUCUAAUCUCGGCAUCGAGGAUGGAUUAAAGGUUGCCUCUACAUGUAAGAUAUCACUGAAGGAGGGGAUUGCGUCUGAUUAGCUAGUUGGAGGGGUAACGGCCCACCAAGGCGAUGAUCAAUAGCCGGUCUGAGAGGAUGAACGGCCACAAUGGGACUGAGACACGGCCCAGACUCCUAAGGGAGGCAGCAGUGGGGAAUCUUCCGCAAUGGACGAAAGUCUGACGGAGCAACGCCGCGUGAGUGAUGACGGCCUUCGGGUUGUAAAGCUCUGUUAAUCGGGACGAAAGGCCUUCUUGCGAAUAGUGAGAAGGAUUGACGGUACCGGAAUAGAAAGCCACGGCUAACUACGUG